UGCACGACCUGCGCAUGUGAAUUUGUUGAUGGCUUACUAUGGUGAGGCUGCUUCUCUCCAGAGGAGCCAACAUUAAUGCCUUUGACAAGAAGGAUCGCCGAGCAAUCCACUGGGCUGCUUACAUGGGGCACAUUGAGGUGGA